rnacentral:rRNA from 1 species
GUGGCAUUACGUCCACGACCUGUUGAGGUUCAGCUUCGCUUCUAGGUUUCCAAAUAUUUU